GAGAAUCUCUAUUAUGAGGAGAGUUCAGUUUUAAAAUUUGAAACUUUCAGUAGAAUUUUACAGCAAACUUCGAAGGCGACGCAUUGUUAAAUUUAAUACUAUAAAGGUUCAAGUCAGCAGGAAAGCCUGGUUUUUGAGAAUGUCAU